AUUACAACGUUUGGUCACUGACUGCAAUGAAAAAACCUUUGUCGACACAUCCACGGGGAAUAUUUUAAUAAAAUCAUUUGUUAAUAAAUUAAUUGAGCUAAAAGGGAAUUCACCGUCAACAGCUGACCAGAAAUUACUUGCUCAUACUGUAAUUUCAAUCUUACCUUGCUGGAAGUAUGCAGCGUCAGAAAACGGAAUUGAUAUACUUUAUGAUGAGGGUAACCGUUCCGGACUUAUCCAAGCUCGGCUAAGAACAAUACAUCGCCAUCUAAAUGAAACGAAGCAGCCAAAAUCAAAACGCGUUUGCAAAAAUCAAAACGCUGUAUCAAAUUCGGAUGUAGAAGAAUCCUUUGUAGAUAACG